UUUUUUUUCACAUUUAAAAAAAUUCAGGGAUGACUUGAAAAAGUAGCAGGCAGUUUUUCAACAUUACAAAUCUAACGGUCAGGACGGACUACAGUGAGAUCCGAACCCACAACCAAGCGGGAAUGUCUAACAAGAAGGUCAGCCUAGGCUAGGUACUUCAAAUUAUAACUUAAACCUCUUUAAUGAAAAAUUAUAAAAACCAAAUCGAUUAAAAAUUCAGAAUGUCAAAUUGAAUACUUCAAAGUAGCUUUCACAAAAGCGAAUAUUUCUGAAUUGUAAAAAUUUUACUUGAUAAAAACGAUGCUUGGGAAAAAAUGCGCGAAUGUUUUUCAAAAUGUAUUGAAGCCCGCCAUCUUGCCGAAGCGCAACUUCGCGCAAGUGGGAUUGGUGGUCUCCACGCCUCCCAGAGUACCGUGCUCUCUUGGGGAAAAAUGUCUUCACGCUGGUUUUAUGCUGUUUGUAUGGCUAUCUCCUAUGGCCUAUUUUACUACCCAGCUGAAAGUGUGGCGUAGGGAAUAUAUUGGAAAAUAAAUGUUUAAUUCAUGAAA